UACGUAGGAGGCAAGCGUUAUCCGGAUUUACUGGGCGUAAAGAGGGCGUAGGCGGCCUGUCAAGUCGGAUGUUAAAUCUCCCGGCUCAACUGGGAGGGUGCACUCGAUACUGAUGGGCUAGAGUACAGCAGAGGAAAGUGGAAUUCCCGGUGUAGUGGUGAAAUGCGUAGAUAUCGGGAGGAACACUAGUGGCGAAGGCGGCUUUCUGGGCUGUUACUGACGCUGAGGCCCGAAGGCGUGGGGAGCAAACAGGAUUAGAUACCCGCGUA
rnacentral:rRNA from 1 species